UGGUGUGUGCCGCGAACGGCGGUGUAGUGAGAGAUGGGAUAUGGCGCGGUGGAGUCACAAAGGGCUCUAGGCCCAAAACCAAUUCAACCAAGGACCGAAAUCUUGCAAAAAAAAACCUAAAUCGUUCAUUCACAGAACUUCAAAGUGGAAAUGCGUCACUCAUCGAUCGUCUCUUCUUUAUCAAAUCGGCCGGCGACAUACUAUUCAUCCACGGCCUCCCUCAGUCGCCGCGUCGCAUCGGCAUCGUGACUUUGUGAUCGGUGGUGGAGUUCGCGUCCCGCGUUCAUGGAGGUUAUCGUGCUCGCAUUCCAACCAAAGCAACGCGCCGGGAUCAAGAAUAACAACGAGUUUGGGUGAAGCGAAGAGGAGAAGAGAAAGUGCUUAUGCACAAGAAGAGUUCUGUUGCAUUUGGCUUCAGCCUCCGUCGUCUCAUUGCCUCACGCCGGAAGAAAAUCGUCGCUCCAGAGUCUUUCGUUCGCGUCAACGUCGGCGUGCUUCCACAAUCGCCAUAGUCCAAUACGUUUCCAACCAUUUCGAGUUCCAAAUCCAAACGCAGAGAAACACUCAACAAUGAGGCUUCAAUUGCCAGGUCGUAUUCUAAGUUCGCCGUUAUCGGCUCUUUUUGAAAUCGCAACCGUGAGCGAAAGAACAACAUCAGAAAUAGAUAGAGGAACUUACCGGUUUCGAAGCGGCGACAGAAAUAGGUGUGAAUCCUCCUUCCGUACAUUUCUUCUCCUUCGUUCCCAAGUCGAUCUUCUCUUUCUCUGCGAUUCUGACUUAAUAUCUUUGUGCGUGAGGAUUGCGAAUCGGGAUUGAAACGCCACAGAUUGAAGGUUGUGGAUCGGUGAGCUCCAGAAGGUUACUCCUAGUCGCCGAGGAUGAAUUCACGUCACAGAAGAUCACUUCAAACUGCAGAGUGUGGACUCGAAUGGCAGAGUGCAGAUUCAAGUUGCAGAAGGUGAAAACUCAAGUUGCAUAAGAUCCAACCCUCUCAUCUCAAAAGAUUCAGACAAGACUCAAGCAGAAGUUGACUAUGCUUGAGGUUCAAUUACCGAGGUCUAUCGUCUUCAACGCAUCGAAACAGAACUCACAACAGAACUCACCGGUUUGAAGUGAUUUCGACGCGGAGGUAAAAUUUCAGAAUGAGCGUGAGGUGAAGAAUCUACUGGUUUGUGAUUUUGCUCUAUGCGGUUUGUGGCUGCGUUCUGCUGUUAGGAGCUGAAGUGGUGGUAUGGCGGAAGCUGGUUGCAGAGUCGAAGGAUGGGGAGUGAAGAAGAAGAUUGAAGAAAAGGUGAAGUGAAGUAAUUGAAGAAGAGGGAAACGGAAUGGAGAUUGAACCGAGUGAAAAACUCCAAUCGAAUGAGGAUUCAACUGGUUAAAUAGAGGAUCAAUCACAACUAACUCGGGCAAAUUCUCGGGCAACCAGGAAUGCCGGACCCUGAAAGUAUCUUGUUAGACUGUGAUCUGUUAUGAUGAGCUGGUGUGAAAUGUUUUGAUAUGUAUGUGGAUAAAUACUCAUAGCUUGUCACUGUUACGUAGAUUGGAGGUGGAUUGACCAGGUCGCUUCGAAUACUUCCACAUGAGGUGCGGUGCUAGUUGGAGUCUAAUCCGUCAUUAAGCUGCUUGUGGGGUCCACUUAGUUAUGUGUAAAAAGAGAUUAUGAUUAGUUUAAAUGAUAUUAAUGAUGUGAGUCAAAAUGUAUUGGACAUGAAUGCAUUCAUUAAUUUUGGAGCGCUAUCGAAUAAGUGUAAUUAUAAAUGAUGUUAGCAAGGAUUUGGAAUGUAAAUUGGUUAUCAAAAGUUUUAAAAAAAAACCAAUAUUUAAAUCAA